rfam:Triticum urartu cultivar G1812 contig99895, whole genome shotgun sequence.
GAAAUACUCCCUUCGUCUGGAAAUACUUGUCAUCAAAAUGGAUAAAAGGAAAUGUAUCUAGACGUAUUUUAGUUUUAGAUACAUCUCUUUUUAUCCAUUUUGAUGACAAGUAUUUUCGGACGGAGGGAGUAGAAA